rnacentral:rRNA from 1 species
UACGAAGGGGGCUAGCGUUGCUCGGAAUCACUGGGCGUAAAGGGUGCGUAGGCGGGUCUUUAAGUCAGGGGUGAAAUCCUGGAGCUCAACUCCAGAACUGCCUUUGAUACUGAAGAUCUUGAGUUCGGGAGAGGUGGGUGGAACUGCGAGUGUAGAGGUGAAAUUCGUAGAUAUUCGCAAGAACACCAGUGGCGAAGGCGGCUCACUGGCCCGAUACUGACGCUGAGGCACGAAAGCGUGGGGAGCAAACAGGG